rnacentral:rRNA from 1 species
AUUGAACGCUAGCGGGAUGCCUUACACAUGAAAGUCGAACGGAGUGGCGAACGGGUGCGUAAUGUAUCGGAACGUGCCCCGUAGCGGGGGAUAACUACGCGAAAGCGUAGCUAAUACCGCAUACUAUUGGCGCGGCCGAUAUCGGAUUAGCUAGUGGGUGGGGUAACGGCUAACCAAGGCGACGAUCCGUAGCUGGUUUGAGAGGACGACCAGCCACACUGGGACUGAGACACGGCCCAGACUCCUACGGGAGGCAGCAGUGGGGAAUUUUGGACAAUGGGCGAAACCCUGAUCCAGCCAUCCCGCGUGUACGAAGAAGGCCUUCGGGUUGUAAAGUACGUUUGGCAGGGAGGCGGUACCUGCAGAAGAAGCACCGGCUAACUACGUGCCAGCAGCCGCGGUAAUAC